rnacentral:rRNA from 1 species
AACCUGCCCAGCAGAGCGACCAGCGAACGUGUUUACCAUGCAUGGGGCGGGGGUGCUCCCACGGUGCCUUGUGUACCGUGCGGGCCCUCCCCCCACGCCGGGGAGGCAAUCCAUCUAGGUGGGGAGCCCUCUGGCACAAUAACGAACCCCGGCGCGGUCUGCGCCAAGGAACAUGAAUACAAGCGUGCCCGCCCCUUCCCGGUCCGCUGGGUUUGGGUGUGGCACCAUGUCGUAUAAAACAUUAAACGACUCUCGGCAACGGAUAUCUCGGCUCUCGCAUCGAUGAAGAACGUAGCGAAAUGCGAUACUUGGUGUGAAUUGCAGAAUCCCGUGAACCAUCGAGUCUUUGAACGCAAGUUGCGCCCGAAGCCUUCUGGCCGAGGGCACGCCUGCCUGGGCGUCACGCAUCGCGUCUCCCCCAACCCACCCAGUGGGAAGGAGGAGGAUGAUGGCCUCCCAUGCCUCACCGGGCGUGGAUGGCCUAAAUAAGGAGCCCCCGGUUACGAACUGCCGCGGCGAUAGGUGGUAUACAAGGCUUAUGCCUAGGAUGCAUCGCGUCGCGCAGCACGUAGCUCCCGAGGCCUCGCAGGACCCUUAGAUGUCUUCUUUCGGGACGACAAAACCGUUGCGA